UACCUAGUUGGUCCUGCCAGUAGUCAUAUGCUUGUCUCAAAGAUUAAGUCAUGCUCAUGUAAGACUGUGAAACUGCGAAUGGCUCAUUAAUCAGUUAUAGUUUGUUUGAUGGUAUUUGCUAUACCGAUAAUUGUAGUAAUUCUAGAGCUAAUACGUGAAACAAAUCCCGACUUCUGAAAGGGAUGCAUUUAUUAGAUAAAAGGUCGAUGCGGAAUUUGCCCCUUGCUUUAAUGAUUCACGACUCGACGAAUUGUAUGACCAUCGUACCGACGAUGCAUCAUUCAAAUUUCUGCCCUAUCAACUUUCGAUGGUAGGAUAGUGACCUACUAUGGUGGUGACGGGUGACGAAGAAUUAGGGUUUUAUUUCGGAGAGAGAGUCUAAGAAACAACUACCACAUCUAAGGAAGGCAGCAGGUGCACAAAUUACCCAAUCCUGACACAGAGAGGUAAUGACAAUAAAUAACAAUAUUGGGCUCUUCGAGUCUGGUAAUUGGAAUAAGUACAAUUUAAAUCCCUUAACGAGGAUCAAUUGGAGGGCAAGUCCGGUGCCAGCAGCCGCGGUAAUUCCAGCUCCAAUAGCGUAUAUUUAAGUGUUAUAGUUAAAGCUCGUAGUUGGACCUUGGGUUGGGUCGAUCGAUUCGCCUAUGGUGAGCACCAGUCGGCUCGUCCCUUCUGCUGGCGAUGCGCUCCUGGCCUUAACUGGCGGGGUUGUGCCUUUGGCGCUAUUACUUUGAAGAAAUUAGAAUGCUCAAAGCAAGCCUAUGCUUUGUAUAUAUUAGCAUGGGAUCACAUCAUAGGAUUUCGAUCCUAUCCUGUUGGCUUUCGAGAUAAGAUUAAUGAUUAACAGAGACAAUUGGGGGCAUUCGUAUUUAAUAGUUAGACGUGAAAUUCUUGGAUUUAUGAAAGACGAACAUCAAACGACCUAAACAUGAAUCUGGGAAGGAUCAUUGUCGAUGCCUAAACAUCAAUGACCCGCAAACACAUUUGAAAACAAACUAUUCGCGUCAGGGGUGGGGGAGCAUGCUCUUUACUUGCCUCCUUCCCUCCUGACUCGUCUAAAUAAAACCCCAGCAUGAAUUCAAAAUGAAUUUUCCUGCCCCAUGCCUUGGCCUUGGCAUGAGGGGGCGGAGCAUUC
rnacentral:rRNA from 1 species